rnacentral:ncRNA from 1 species
GAUCAAGCUACAAAGAGCGUAUGGUGGAUGCCUUGGCAUUAGGCGCCGAUGAAGGACGUGACAAGCUGCGAUAAGCUGCGGUGAGUGGCAAAUACACUUUGACCCGCAGAUUUCCGAAUGAGGAAACUCACUAUGUUGAAGACAUAGUAUCUUUACACGAAUAAAAUAGUGUAUCGAGGGGAACCCGGAGAACUGAAACAUCUCAUUAUCCGGAGGAAAAGAAAGAAAAUAUUCGAUUUCCUGAGUAGUGGCGAGCGAAAGGGAAGGAGCCCAAACCGUUUGUAGAAAUAUAAACGGGGUUGAGAACUGCGUAACCGACCGAUUUUGAUAGUCGAAGCACUUGGAAAGGUGUGCCAUAGAGAGUGACAGCCUCGUAGGCGAAAUCAAAAUGGUCGCGGCAGAGUUCCAGAGUACCACAGGACACGUGGAAUCCGGUGGGAAUACAAGGAGGACCAUCUCCUAAGGCUAAAUACGACCUAAUGACCUAUAGAGUAUAGUACCGUGAGGGAAAGGUGAAAAGAACCCCGGGAGGGGAGUGAAAUAGAAUCUGAAACCAUACGCUUACA